rnacentral:rRNA from 1 species
GAUGAACGCUGGCGGCGUGCCUAAUACAUGCAAGUCGAGCGAACAGAUGAGAAGCUCGCUUCUCUGAUGUUAGCGGCGGACGGGUGAGUAACACGUGGGUAACCUACCUAUAAGACUGGGAUAACUCCGGGAAACCGGGGCUAAUACCGGAUAAUAUUUUGAACCGCAUGGUUCAAUAGUGAAAGACGGUCUCGGCUGUCACUUAUAGAUGGACCCGCGCCGUAUUAGCUAGUUGGUAAGGUAACGGCUUACCAAGGCGACGAUACGUAGCCGACCUGAGAGGGUGAUCGGCCACACUGGAACUGAGACACGGUCCAGACUCCUACGGGAGGCAGCAGUAGGGAAUCUUCCGCAAUGGGCGAAAGCCUGACGGAGCAACGCCGCGUGAGUGAUGAAGGUCUUCGGAUCGUAAAACUCUGUUGUUAGGGAAGAACAAAUUUGUUAGUAACUGAACAAGUCUUGACGGUACCUAACCAGAAAGCCACGGCUAACUACGUGCCAGCAGCCGCGGUAA